CCACUAUGAGCAAGCAGGCGCUCUGCUGGGUAGCUCUUUGUCUCCUUGCAGCAGGAACCACACACGGUGCCAUCACUCAGAUACCCAAAUUCCUGAUCGGACUGCAAGGGCAGAGACUGACGAUGGAAUGCCAACAGGAUUUUAAUCACGAUACCAUGUACUGGUACCGGCAGGAUCCAGGGAAAGGGUUGAGACUGAUCUACUAUUCAUUAACUGAAACAGAUAUCCAGAAAGGGGAACUAUCUGAAGGCUAUAGCGUCUCUCGUGAGAAAAAGCCACUUUUCCCUCUUACUGUGACAUCUGCCCAGAAGAACCAGAUGGCUGUCUACCUCUGUGCCAGCAGCAUUACACAAGAAUAUGCCCAGCAUUUUGGAGAGGGGACUCGACUCUCGGUUCUAGAGGAUUUGAGCAAGGUGAGUCCACCCAAGGUCACCUUGUUUGAGCCAUCAGAAGCAGAGAUCGUCGACAAACAAAUGGCCACCCUUGUGUGCCUGGCCAGGGGCUUCUACCCUGACCACGUGGAACUGAGCUGGUGGGUGAAUGGCAAGGAGGUCCACAGUGGAGUCAGCACAGACCCUCAGCCCUACAUGGAGAACAAGACCCUCACCUACUGCCUGAGCAGCCGCCUGAGGGUCUCUGCGACCUUCUGGCACAACCCUCGCAACCACUUCCGCUGCCAAGUCCAGUUCUAUGGGCUUACAGAUGAAGACAUGUGGACGAAGGCCUCGCCCAAGCCUGUCACCCAGAACAUCAGUGCAGAGGCCUGGGGCAGCGCAGAUUGUGGCAUUACCUCAGCAUCCUACCAACAAGGGGUCCUGUCUGCCACCAUCCUUUAUGAGAUCCUGCUGGGGAAGGCCACCCUGUACGCUGUGCUUGUCAGUACCCUGGUGCUGAUGGCCAUGGUCAAAAGAAAGAAUUCCUGAGGCCAGACUUGGGGGCGGAGUUCAGAACUUCCAACCUGUUGUAUCGCUAAUAAAGAUUCUCUUUCUCCAGCACUUCUGAAGAGCUGUCCUCAUUUGUCUGUGUGUCCCAACGUCUGCUUACUAGUCAUGUGUACUUACCCAUGUGCAUCUGAAAUCCCUGGGACCUGGAGAGCACCUAGCAUAUAUACAAUCAAAAAACAUAACCAAUAAACUUGUUCUA